AUUCAUAGGCGGUAUCCUGGGCGAGUCUGGAACGCCAGAGACCGCUGUGAACCGGCAGAGAGACUAGAACUUGCCACCAACCGAGACGAACGCACAUGAUAAACGGUGAUCAGGGGAAAGUAGCUGGACCAGGUGAUCGGGCAACGUCCAAAGCUUCUGAUGCAAACGAGCGCGUGCAUGUGUUCGUCGGAGGGGGUGCGUCGACGCAACGCACAGGAGGUCAGCGUCAAACCAGCAGGUCUGGACGGGGCGUCCAGCGUCUUUCGGCUGGAGCCCAGCCGCUUGAGCCACUAGACGGCUGAGGAUUCGCGGGGAACAGUGCCGCGGCGCUGCACCAGCCGCGUCUGGUGGCCUCGCCUCUGACGCCGGCCGCGGACGCGGACUCUUUGGAGCCAGAAUCGUUCGUGUUUCUACCGCUGUCGCAGUACUACUCGCGCUGCUUCGUUUGCGGUGAAGAACUGGGUCCCGGGGAGGGUGCAUCAGCUUGGCCAGCGGGUCCGUGCCUGGGACCCGACGCUGCGAGUCAGCGCUCGACGCUCGCGGGUGCCGAGGGUGCGCUUCUGCCGCCGUACGUUGCGGACUGGCAGAAGCGGCAUCGCUACGGUUACUGGCAAACGGUUCGCGAGCAUCGCCUGACGCAAGUGCCUGUGGGCCCUGCAGCCGACGGCACGCCGACCACGGACGCAGUCGAUGCGUCGGUCGGGGCCUCUACGGCAACGAUUACGACAGCCCCGGCACCGGCAGCGUGGAGCGGCGCAGUUCCCCGCGUCGUGAAGGUCUUCAACGACAUCCAUCCAGCUCGCUACGACUACGCGUUCCUGAUCUUUACCUUGCUUCUCUUUCCGUACACCUGGAGUCUAAUCUCGUUACUCUACUGGACAGGUUGGUUCCGGUUUGAGAGCUUCUUUUGGGAAUGCUGUGGCACGCUCUUUCCGCGCUCAAGAGGUUGUGAGCGGAUUGUUGCGCUCGAGAAUGGUCAUGUGAUAUGUGUUCGUGUUUAUGAAAGUCGGCAUCUCUUGCCUGAAACCAGUAACCCGACGCAACUCUAAACAUGGAAAGUCAA